rnacentral:tRNA from 1 species
AGGUUUAUAGCUCAGCUGGUAGAGCGCCUGCCUUACAAGCAGGAUGUCAUCGGUUCGAAUCCGGUUAGACCUA